rnacentral:rRNA from 1 species
UUGCACGCUGGCGGCAGGCCUAACACAUGCAAGUCGAACGGUAACAGGAAGAAGCUUGCUUCUUUGCUGACGAGUGGCGGACGGGUGAGUAAUGUCUGGGAAACUGCCUGAUGGAGGGGGAUAACUACUGGAAACGGUAGCUAAUACCGCAUAACGUCGCAAGGCCAAAGAGGGGGACCUUCGGGCCUCUUGCCAUCGGAUGUGCCCAGAUGGGAUUAGCUAGUAGGUGGGGUAACGGCUCACCUAGGCGACGAUCCCUAGCUGGUCUGAGAGGAUGACCAGCCACACUGGAACUGAGACACGGUCCAGACUCCUACGGGAGGCAGCAGUGGGGAAUAUUGCACAAUGGGCGCAAGCCUGAUGCAGCCAUGCCGCGUGUAUGAAGAAGGCCUUCGGGUUGUAAAGUACUUUCAGCGGGGAGGAAGGGAGUAAAGUUAAUACCUUUGCUCAUUGACGUUACCCGCAGAAGAAGCACCGGCUAACUCCGUG